rnacentral:rRNA from 1 species
UGGGGAAUUUUCCGCAAUGGGCGAAAGCCUGACGGAGCAAUACCGCGUGAGGGAAGACGGCUUUUGGGUUGUAAACCUCUUUUCUCUGGGAAGAAGAUCUGACGGUACCAGAGGAAUCAGCAUCGGCUAACUCCGUGCCAGCAGCCGCGGUAAUACGGAGGAUGCAAGCGUUAUCCGGAAUUAUUGGGCGUAAAGGGUCCGCAGGUGGUCGUUCAAGUCUGUUGUCAAAGCGUGGAGCUUAACUCCAUACCGGCAAUGGAAACUGAAUGACUAGAGUACAGUAGGGGUUGCGGGAAUUCCCAGUGUAGCGGUGAAAUGCGUAGAUAUUGGGAAGAACACCAGCGGCGAAAGCGCGCAACUGGACUGAGACUGACACUGAGGGACGAAAGCU